rnacentral:rRNA from 1 species
GACGAACGCUGGCGGCGUGCUUAACACAUGCAAGUCGAACGGAAAGGCCCUGCUUUUGUGGGGUGCUCGAGUGGCGAACGGGUGAGUAACACGUGAGUAACCUGCCCUUGACUUUGGGAUAACUUCAGGAAACUGGGGCUAAUACCGGAUAGGAGCUCCUGCUGCAUGGUGGGGGUUGGAAAGUUUCGGCGGUUGGGGAUGGACUCGCGGCUUAUCAGCUUGUUGGUGGGGUAGUGGCUUACCAAGGCUUUGACGGGUAGCCGGCCUGAGAGGGUGACCGGCCACAUUGGGACUGAGAGAAGGCCCAGACUCCUACGGGAGGCAACAGUGGGGAAUAUUGCACAAUGGGCGGAGGCGGGAUGCAGCAACGCCGCGUGCGGGAUGACGGCCUUCGGGUGGUAAACCGCUUUCGCCUGUGACGAAGCGUGAGUGACGGUAAUGGGUAAAGAAGCACCGGCUAACUACGU